UCUUGUGACGUAGUGUGUGACGUUCAUCGACUGAUAUUAUUCAAAUCAAAACGUCCAACUGAUUUAACGGUCACUGCCGAUCGAAACGUGAAGAAAUCGGGAUUUUCAAGAGUGAACUCUAGGAUUUAAACUAUCACUUGCUACGUUCGCUGAAUUUGGUGUCAGAAAAGGGACGGUGGAUUUAUACCAUGACUCUUGAAGACCCGCAUGAGACCAGGGAGCUGGAGGAUGAGCUGUCUGUUCAUUCACCGAAGCAGCAUAAUGUCCGCGCGUGGAAUGCGUUCAUUUCUAUAAUAUGCCUGGCUUCGGUAACACUGUCUCUGUAUGAGCUGUUUUUCAACUCUACUGUCACAGGGAUCAUCUUCACAAGAUACUUUCUUGAUUCUGAUCUUCAUAUUUAACAUCAUUUCACGCUUUUACAUUGGAUUACGAAACUCAUG